CCCACUCCAUCAGCGGCUGCUUCUCUUUCUGGGUGGCAGACCAGAGGUCCACCUUUUCCCUCCAGAUUCAGAUCUCUCGGGGUCACCCCAGACCCCCGGUUUCUCUUCACUGAGCCCGUAUCAGUCUACGACUUAAACAUCUUUAAGGCUCACACCCUUCUGCCACCUGCUGAGCGCUGGUCCCAGCUGUCCCGUCUUAGCAGCCUCCGAAUGGCGUUCCCCACCCAGCAGCCACCCCCACCAGCACUAUCACCCUGAUGCUUUAGCCCGAGGCCCCUUCCCAACAGUGGUCACUGGCUCCAAUGCCAGACACGGACCUCAUGUGUCCAGGCCCAGCCCAGCAGCCACCUGUGUCUGGUGGCGCUAGAGCCCUCCCAAGGAGACUGCAGAGGGAAGACGGCGCCAUGCCAAGCCCACGUCUCCAGAAGCUUCUAGUGCUCACACGGGAGUAUGCAGACUAUCUGCUUGACCUGUCUUUAAAGCCACAGCCCCGAUGCUCUGCACCACCUGGCCCAGCGACCGCUAGAACACUCUAAGUCACUGUCGACAAGUAGCCUGCGCCAGCCUCCCUGGAUGGGCUGAAGCGGGGCCGCGUGCCCAGCUCCAGGCACCAAAACCCAGCAAGGGAGAGGCCCGGGUCUGGAAGGGCAGGAAGGGGGCGGCUUCCCCACCCCUCUCCUUUACUCAACUCUGGACCCUACCCGGGGCUUUGCCGGCAGACUGGGGGUGAGCGGCUGUCCCAAGGCUUUCCCCUGGACAAGUGCCCCCGCCCACUCCUGCUCCUGGACCCUAUGUAGCUCCAGUGGCCACAGGAUCCCCCUGGCAUGUCUACCAGCCGACUGGGGGUGGGAGACACAGAGCAAACAGAGGGAGCUUUCCUGGCCACUGGCCACAGCGGAGCUCCAGACCUUCCUUUCUCAACAGCCCCCCAUCCCCCAGAAGCAUUUGCCCCUGACUAGUCCCUGUUGGAGGGUCACACUUGAUCACCUAGAGUCCGUCCAGAAGGGUGGCCUCGGAUGCACCUUGCAAAGGACAUUUCAAUCACGAUCUCCUACUCCCCCUUACACACCAACAACACCCAUAACCACUCCUGCUUCCGACCCAACCUGCUUCCCUACCCCUCACCGACCACCCAAAGCCCCCUCCCACCCCCCCACCAUUUCAGGCAAAUGACAGCGUCACCAAGCGGCCCUCUGCCAGUGCUGCCGCAGAGCCUCCGCCAGGCACUGGGACCCGAAACCCAGGGGCAUCGGUGCGGACAACUCCUCGCUCGGUGGGUGGGAGGGCCCUCACCAAUACCUUGUACUCCCCGGAGCCCUGGCCCUGGCCUCACCUGGCUGCCACCCCACAGGAGAAAACCACCCACUCAGGCCACCCUCCUCGCGGCCAGCCUGCACUUGGAGAGCCCUACCUGGCAGGCAGCGCUUGAUCAAAGACCCCUCACCAAGGCCACAACACCUAAGCUCCUGAAGAAGAGGGUUUCACCAGGUAACCACAAGGCUGCUCUCUGUGCCGCCCGGUUCCUGCUCGGGACCUCCUGGGCAGGCCACCCUGCCAGUGAGCACCAGGUUUGGGGGCACCUCGGUGAGGCAGUGGGCCUGGCCUCAUCAGUCUGGCCGCAGCUCUGGCCAAGAGACCGAGCCCUCUCCAACGGGCCUCCCCUGGGUUGCUUCAGGGUUCACCGCUCACUCCAUGACCUCAGAACAAGUUAGGGAUAAAGGGGACCCUGGGUUUGUGCCUGCUGCACCUGAGACCUCAGGUCUUGGCUGCAGGGCAGGGAGCACUCUCUUGGGGCCCAGGGGUAAGUGCUCCCCGGAAUCUCUCCCAUCAGGCCGAGCUUGGCCCAAGCUGAGCUGAGAAGAGCACCCCCUUGGGCUCAUCCGCAUGCCAGCCGGCUGGGCAUCGGUGGGGCGUGAAUGCCUGAGGCUCUGCACAGCCCUCCCAUCCACCCUGCCGUGGGGCCUGGGGCAGCUGAGGGGGCCUCUCCAGUGUCCACAGGGAACGACCUGGAACAGCAGGAGGGGGUACAGCUCAGGGACCCUCUCUGCUGUGUUCCCCGCAAAGACAUGCCUCGGGUCUGCCCAUCCUCCCCCCUUGGGCCCCCCCCCACAGGCAAAGGGGGCACCAACUCCUAGCUGGGCUGGAACAUCGGGCAGGAGCCUCCAACUGAGGGAGCCCACGGGGGCUCACGGUGACCCGGGCCCAGUCUCCGCUCAGGCCCCAUAAAUCCUGGGGCUGAAAAGACAGAAUGGGAAGGGGCAGAGGGCUCGGCUGACGCCCCCUGACCCAGCCACUUCCCGCCAAGCCUGGUAGCCGUGUCCAAAGUCACGGGCGCCGUCGGCCUGGCAUCCCAGCUCCUCAGUCCCCCUCCGGCUUGUGGCCUGCCACUUGUAGUAACUCUGGGUCCCAGCGCCCUUCCCCCUGGCCCCACCCUCUUUCAAGGCCAACUCAGGUCUCCCUCCAGGAAGCCCUCCCAGGCCCCCCGGGGGCACAACACCCACUCAGCACAGGCAGCCCACCCUCCCUGGCGGCAGGAAGGCCACUCUGCCUGCUGGUGGGGCCUCCACUUCCCUUCUCUUGUCUCCCUGCCCAGCACCCAAGCCGGGCCUGGGUCAGUAAACAAAUAUGCCUGAAGACACCGCACAGAGAGACUCUUUGUCUGGUGUCGGCAUUCAAGGAAACGCAGCUUCGUGCCAUCACGGCCCCAGAGUGGCGGCCUCAGACCUUCCUGACCCGACCACAGGCAGCAGGACAGCGGGCAGCGUCCACGAGGGGGUUUUCAGGGCGAGUCUGCUCCCCACAAGGGCACCCUUGUUCUCACAGAGGCCCGGCGGCCUCCGCGGGAGAUGGGAGUACUCGCUGCUCGCUGUGCAAGGUGUUAGACGCGAUCUGCACAGCAGCCCCUCUUUCCCUCGCCGCGGCGGGCGGUGUAGGCACUGACAUGAAUGCCCGCGGUCACUCGGCGGGAAGUGGCUGAGCAGUGCUGGCCUCCCGCUCCCCUGCCUCUCCCACUGCGAGACCUCCCCCCACGCCAGCCCCGGGGUGGGGGGGCGUCCUGAGCAGGACGGGGACGCGGAAGCAGGGGCAGGGGCAGGGGCAGGGGCAGGCACACCCCGCCGCCCAGCAAGCUGCAGACGGCCGGCCCGCUGCCUGGGGAGGAUGGUCCCCCCACCCCCACCCCGCACCGGCCGAGUCAGGGGCCGCCUACCGCCCAGGCACCUCCACCCAGCUGGCCAGCCCAGCUGGCAGGCACAGCUGGGGAGGGGGCUGCAGAUCUGGACGGGACACAGUUCACCGUGACAGAAAAACGGCAUUCUUUCUUAGCAUAAGCGUAUCUGGCCCAGAGGAACUGAAAUGAAAGCAAGGACUGGAACAGAAUCUCGCACGCCCCUGUGCACAGCGGCUGCCUCACAACAGCCGGAAGGUGAAAACAACCCGUGUCCGUCCACGCAGAAGUGGGUCACAAAAUGUGGCAGAGCCACAGGACGGAAUAUUACUCAGCCUCAACAAGUAACGAAGUGCGACACCUGCUCCGACGUGGAGGCACCUGACCUUGCCAACGCCGUGCGGAGUGAAAGAAACCAGACUUGAAGCAACAAAUACCGUGUGACUCCCUGUACGCGGAGGCCCCCACGGUCGUCAGAGUCACAGUGACAGGGCGGAAGGUGGGCGCCAGGGGCCAGGGCGGGGCUGGGGAGUCCGUGUCCACUGGGGAGAGAGGUCCAGUGGGGGAAGAUGAGAAAAUUCUGGAGACGGAUGGUGUGGACAGUGCAUAUGUGCUUAAUGACCCUGACCUGUACACAAAAACGGUUAAAAUGCUAAA